AUGCUCGCUUUGGCAGCACAUAUACUAAAAUUGGAAUGAUACAGAAAAGAUAGCAUGCCCCUGUGCAAGUAUGACAAACAAAUUAGUGCAGCAUUCCAUAAAAAAUUUAU